UACAGAGGGGGCAAGCGUUGUUCGGAAUUACUGGGCGUAAAGGGCGCGUAGGCGGCCCGCUAAGUCGAACGUGAAAUCCCCGAGCUCAACUCGGGAACUGCGUCCGAUACUGGCGGGCUUGAAUCCGGGAGAGGGAUGCGGAAUUCCAGGUGUAGCGGUGAAAUGCGUAGAUAUUGGGAGGAACACCAGUGGCGAAGGCGGCUCACUGGACCGGAACUGACGCUGAGGCGCGAAAGCGUGGGGAUCAAACAGG
rnacentral:rRNA from 1 species